CAUGAAGCUGGAAUCGCUAGUAAUCGCGGAUCAGAAUGCCGCGGUGAAUACGUUCCCGGGUCUCGUACACACCGCCCGUCACACCAUGGGAGUCGGAAAUGCCCGAAGUCGGUGACCGAACCGAAAGGAAGGAGCCGCCGAAGGCAGGUCUGGUGACUGGGGUGAAGUCGUAACAAGGUAAC
rnacentral:rRNA from 1 species